rnacentral:rRNA from 1 species
UGGGGAAUUUUGGACAAUGGGCGAAAGCCUGAUCCAGCAAUGCCGCGUGUGUGAAGAAGGCCUUCGGGUUGUAAAGCACUUUUGUCCGGAAAGAAAUCCUUGGCUCUAAUACAGUCGGGGGAUGACGGUACCGGAAGAAUAAGCACCGGCUAACUACGUGCCAGCAGCCGCGGUAAUACGUAGGGUGCAAGCGUUAAUCGGAAUUACUGGGCGUAAAGCGUGCGCAGGCGGUUUGCUAAGACCGAUGUGAAAUCCCCGGGCUCAACCUGGGAACUGCAUUGGUGACUGGCAGGCUAGAGUAUGGCAGAGGGGGGUAGAAUUCCACGUGUAGCAGUGAAAUGCGUAGAGAUGUGGAGGAAUACCGAUGGCGAAGGCAGCCCCCC